rnacentral:rRNA from 1 species
AGCAAUCCAUGAGUAAAGUGGCGACCGGGUGAGUAACACGUGACUAACCUACCUUUCAGUGGGGAAUAACCUCGGGAAACCGGGGCUAAUACCGCAUAAUGUCUUCGGACCAAAGGAGCAAUUCGCUGGAUGAGGGGGUCGCGGCCGAUUAGCUAGUUGGCGGGGUAACGGCCCACCAAGGCAAUGAUCGGUAGCCGGCCUGAGAGGGCGCACGGCCACACUGGAACUGAAACACGGUCCAG